UCCUUUUUUAAAAAAAGGUAGGCUUUGCUCAAUGAAAUUUUUUAAUAGCCGCAGUAUUUUGACUGUGCUAAGGUAGCAUAAUAAUUUGUCUUAUAAUAGAAGACUGGAAUGAAAGAGUUGACGACAUCUAAACUUUCUAAAUAAAACAAUUUGAAUUUAAUAUCCCCUUUAAAAAGUGGGGCUGUCUAGAGGGACGAUAAGACCCUAUAAAGCUUUAAAUUAAAAAAUUUUUUUUUUACAGAGUUUCUUAAAAAAAUUAUUGAUUGAGCUGGGGCGGCAUUUAUUAUUCUAUAAAAAAAAUAACAUUUAUUUAUGGUUUUUUAGAUCUCAAAAAGAUAUAGAACAAGCUACUUUAGGGAUAACAGCAUAAUUUCUUAGUAUAGAUCUCAUAGAUUAAUAAGACUUAUGACCUCGAUGUUGAAUUGAGGGGCUCUUCUGUUAGCAGAAAAAAGAAAGAGGGGUCUGUUCGACCUUUAAUCCCUC
rnacentral:rRNA from 1 species